rnacentral:misc_RNA from 1 species
UCUAGCCAAUAAGAAGUGAAGCAUUGCGCAUGGCAUGAUAUCAUUAUUAUCCAAUAAAAAUGUUUUGACAAGUAGAAACAUCUGCGUUAGGCCUAUUUUAUGAAAAAAAAGUUAACGAAACAUUUAAUCUACUCUCAUUUGAGAAUAGAUAUGUUGGCUUAUCAAAAAUUAUUUUUUCCAUUUUCUCUAGAUGAAACCUCUGUGGAUAAAGUUUGGACAUUUUCCACUAAUGGAUGUUUCAUCACGCUUACAGGGGAGAAAUCACAGUGUAAAACAUCACUGUUAUUCCAAGCUGCAGUAACUCUUUCAACAAAGAAUGACCAAGUGAUUUUUAUUCGACCAAAACACCUAGAUAAACUACCUUUGCAUGUUCACGGAAUGCCCUCUCCUAAACCACUGGCAAUGCAGCAUGUAAAAUUAAUGUAUAUGUGGUCAGUAUCUGACUUAGUGCAGUACUUGGCCAGAAUACACAUGAACUCAGUGAUCCCUGCAGCAAUACUAGUGGAUGAUCUUGAUCAUUAUGUUACUCAACUCACUAAAAUACUUGGAUUGGACGUUCUGGUUGGAAACAACAAUGCUGGCCACCUGUAUUUAAGGUUGAGAUGUGGAACUGCUAUGAAGUUGUACAGCAGGACUUGCUAAAAUCUAACAGUUCUAUAGAAGAAUGGCAUCAUAGCUUUUUUUUGCAACAAGUUUCUGCAAAUCAUCCAAAUAUAUGGAAGCUAAUUUCUGCGAUAAAGAGGGAACAAAGUCUGAAUGAGCUACAUAUUGACCAACUUUUGAGUGGUGAGGAACCUUCUAUUGGUUGAAAAAAAUAUCAUAACUGUGCAGAGAGAUUAAGAAGACUUGUCAGUGCAUUUCAACCAACAAAUAAUAUGAAUGUUUUUAUAAUAUUUUUUAAUGGUCUGAUAAAAUUGCCUAUUGUAUUAUCAUGAUGUAACAUUCUCCAUUCUGAUUAAAUAUCUCAUUUUUGACAUAUGUAUGUCUUUCUAUGUGUAUUAAGUAAUAUUGGUCCAUCUCACUUCAAAAGAUCAUUGAAAGGUGAUUUAUAUGCCUUUUUGUAAUAUUUUUCUUAAUUUUCUUGUAAUACAUUAAUUUAUAAUUAAAAUUAAAUCUAAAAAUUGGACAUUCAAUUACCUGUUAUUUUGAAGAACUGGUUUUGGAGAAUUGUUUUAAAAAAUUUUUCCGUAAACUCAUCAUGCUAUCAGAAGAUAAUACUGAUGCAGUUAGAUAGUUCAAAACUAUCUUUUAAUUGCUUAUUUAAAACAAAACCUAAUCCAGCAGAGUUUGUUGUAUCUUCUCUUCCAGUUGUUUGUUCCAUCUUUAGUAGCUUAAUUGGUGUAAUUUUAGGUACAGCUAAUUUAGACACAUUGGCAAAUUCUAGAAGUGUGGAAAGCUUUUAAUUAUAAUACAAACAAGCAUAACUCUAUGUGUGCUAUAACAAUAGAAAAUUAAGAGUUGAAAUUGACAGUUUUUGUUUUGUGAUUAGAUAUGAGAAUCAAAUGUUGUCGAGGAUUUGAGAGAGUUCUGUGGAGGCUAAUAUGAGAUAGUUUUUAGUCAUCAGAAUGUGGUUUAUCCUUUUUUUCUCAAAUUUUUAGUUAUUUAAAAGUACUUUUAGCCACAGUUCAUUUAGAGCUGGGCAAUUAGCAGUACUUAUUAAUUGAUUAAUUGACAGGCUCAAUAAUCAAUGACUUUUGAUUAAUUUAUUAGUAUACUGUGCUCUCAUAGAAGAUAAAAACAAAUAAUGUUAUGUGCUUACUCUCUUAACUUUUUCAAAUGCAACAUUAUUCUAUUAAGUGACCUGUUAGUUGGUUUACUUAUUAUUUUGUUUGAAUAGAAUAAAUAUUUUACUGUCAACUACUGUGAAAACUUAAAGAAAAUUGAAGUUAAGAAAAAGUGAUCACUCUGGAACCUAACAGAAGACUAUUUGUCAAAUACUGUGAUAUAAAGAAAACAAUCUAAAAGUAAGAUUCUAUUCAGUGAUAUUUCACAAGUUAUUAAUAAAAAAAUUCACUUUCUAAUUUAGUGUUUCUUGUGUAUAACGUAAUGUAUCAUUUCCAUGUCUGAGUACUUUCCAAUAGUUUUAUAUUCUUGUAAAUAAUAUUACUCUAUUUUGUAAUUUAAGAAGUGUGUCACUGCCCAUAAAGGGUAUUGUAUUAUUUGGAAUAAACAGUAUUAUAUUUUAA